rnacentral:rRNA from 1 species
GACGAACGCUGGCGGCGCGCCUAACACAUGCAAGUCGAACGGAGUUGUGUUGAAAGCUUGCUGGAUAUACAACUUAGUGGCGGACGGGUGAGUAACACGUGAGUAACCUGCCUCUCAGAGUGGAAUAACGUUUGGAAACGAACGCUAAUACCGCAUAACGUGAGAAGAGGGCAUCCUCUUUUUACCAAAGAUUUAUCGCUGAGAGAUGGGCUCGCGGCCGAUUAGGUAGUUGGUGAGAUAACAGCCCACCAAGCCGACGAUCGGUAGCCGGACUGAGAGGUUGAUCGGCCACAUUGGGACUGAGACACGGCCCAGACUCCUACGGGAGGCAGCAGUGGGGGAUAUUGCACAAUGGGGGAAACCCUGAUGCAGCGACGCCGCGUGAGGGAAGACGGUUUUCGGAUUGUAAACCUCUGUCUUUAGGGACGAAAAAAUGACGGUACCUAAGGAGGAAGCCACGGCUAACUACGUGCCAGCAGCCGCGGUAAUACGUAGGUGGCAAGCGUUGUCCGGAAUUACUGGGUGUAAAGGGAGCGUAGGCGGGGAGACAAGUUGAAUGUCUAAACUAUCGGCUUAACUGAUAGUCGCGUUCAAAACUAUCACUCUUGAGUGCAGUAGAGGUAGGCGGAAUUCCUAGUGUAGCGGUGAAAUGCGUAGAUAUUAGGAGGAACACCAGUGGCGAAGGCGGCCUACUGGGCUGUAACUGACGCUGAGGCUCGAAAGCGUGGGUAGCAAACAGGAUUAGAUACCCUGGUAGUCCACGCCGUAAACGAUGAUUAUUAGGUGUGGGGGGACUGACCCCCUUCCGUGCCGGAGUUAACACAAUAAGUAAUCCACCUGGGGAGUACGACCGCAAGGUUGAAACUCAAAGGAAUUGACGGGGGCCCGCACAAGCAGUGGAGUAUGUGGUUUAAUUCGAAGCAACGCGAAGAACCUUACCAGGUCCUGACAUCGAGCGACGAACUUAGAGAUAAGUUCUUCCUUCGGGACGCGAAGACAGGUGGUGCAUGGUUGUCGUCAGCUCGUGUCGUGAGAUGUUGGGUUAAGUCCCGCAACGAGCGCAACCCUUAUCAUUAGUUGCUACGCAAGAGCACUCUAAUGAGACUGCCGUUGAUAAAACGGAGGAAGGUGGGGAGGACGUCAAAUCAUCAUGCCCCCUAUGACCUGGGCUACACACGUACUACAAUGGUGAUCAAACAGAGGGAAGCAACACAGCGAUGUGAAGCAAAUCCCGAAAAAUCAUCUCAGUUCAGAUUGCAGGCUGCAACUCGCCUGCAUGAAGUCGGAAUUGCUAGUAAUCGCGGAUCAGCAUGCCGCGGUGAAUAAGUUCCCGGGCCUUGCAC